ACAAACGCUGGCGGCAUGCCUAACACAUGCAAGUCGAACGGACAGAACAGGGACGCUUUUCGGAGUGGAACUGGAAAGUUAGUGGCGGAUGGGUGAGUAACGCGUGGACAACCUACCUUGUAAAGGGGAAUAACCUCGAGAAAUCGAAGCUAAUACCCCAUAAUAACCUUGCUUCGCAUGAAGUAAGGAGGAAAGGCGGCCUUAGCGCUGUCGAUACAAGAUGGGUCCGCGUCUGAUUAGCUAGUUGGUGAGGUAAAGGCUCACCAAGGCGACGAUCAGUAGCCGGCCUGAGAGGGUGAACGGCCACAUUGGGACUGAGACACGGCCCAAACUCCUACGGGAGGCAGCAGUGGGGAAUCUUCCGCAAUGGGCGAAAGCCUGACGGAGCAAUGCCGCGUGAGUGAAGAAGGCCUUCGGGUUGUAAAACUCUGUCCUUAUCGAAGAGAGAGUGUUGUAGUAACUGACAAUACUAGGACGGUAGAUGAGGAGGAAGCCCCGGCUAACUAUGUG
rnacentral:rRNA from 1 species